rnacentral:rRNA from 1 species
CAAUAGCGUAUAUUUAAGUUGUUGCAGUUCAAAAGCUCGUAGUUGGAUUUCGGGUGGGACGCAGCGGUCUCGCAUUGCGUUUGUACUGCUGCAGCCCUCCUUCUUGCCGGGGGCGGCCUCUCGGACUUCACUGUCUGGGGGUCAGAAUCGGCGAUGUUACUUUGAGUAAAUUAGAGUGUUCAAAGCAAGCUUACGCUCUGAAUAUAAUAGCAUGGGAUAACACGACAGGACUCUGGCCUAUCGUGUUGGUCUAUAGGACCAGAGUAAUGAUUAAGAGGGACAGUCGGGGGCAUUCGUAUUCCGUUGUCAGAGGUGAAAUUCUUGGAUUUACGGAAGACGAACAUCUGCGAAAGCAUUUGCCAAGGAUGUUUUCAUUGA